GUAUUUGCAGUAUUACAUAUACUAAAGUUGGGAUGAUACAGAGAUUAGCAUAGGCCUUGUACAAUGAUGACAUGCAAAUUUGUGAAGUGUUCCAUAUAUAC
ensembl:snRNA U6 U6 spliceosomal RNA